ACGCUCGACACCUACGGGAGGUAGCAGUGGGGAAUAUUGCACAAUGGGGGAAACCCUGAUGCAGCAACGCCGCGUGAAGGAAGAAGUAUUUCGGUAUGUAAACUUCUAUCAGCAGGGAAGAAAAAGAUGACGGUACCUGACUAAGAAGAACCGGCUAAAUACGUGCCAACAGCCGCGGUAAUCUGAGCGGGCUGGCAAGGC
rnacentral:rRNA from 1 species